rnacentral:rRNA from 1 species
GACGAACGCUGGCGGCGUGCUUAACACAUGCAAGUCGAACGGAAGGGCCCUGCUUUUGUGGGGUGCUCGAGUGGCGAACGGGUGAGUAACACGUGAGUAACCUGCCCUUGACUUUGGGAUAACUUCAGGAAACUGGGGCUAAUACCGGAUAGGAGCUCCUGCUGCAUGGUGGGGGUUGGAAAGUUUCGGCGGUUGGGGAUGGACUCGCGGCUUAUCAGCUUGUUGGUGGGGUAGUGGCUUACCAAGGCUUUGACGGGUAGCCGGCCUGAGAGGGUGACCGGCCACAUUGGGACUGAGAUACGGCCCAGACUCCUACGGGAGGCAGCAGUGGGGAAUAUUGCACAAUGGGCGGAAGCCUGAUGCAGCAACACCGCGUGCGGGAUGACGGCCUUCGGGUUGUAAACCGCUUUCGCCUGUGACGAAGCGUGAGUGACGGUAAUGGGUAAAGAAGCACCGGCUAACUACGUG